CUUUUAGUUUCCGGUAUCUCUGCAAUGGCGGCUCUGGACUCCCUGUCGCUGUUCACUAGCCUCGGCCUGAGCGAGCAGAAGGCCCGCGAGACGCUCAAGAACUCGGCUCUGAGCGCGCAGCUGCGCGAGGCCGCUACUCAGGCUCAGCAGACCCUGGGUUCCACCAUUGACAAAGCUACCGGGACCCUGUUAUAUGGCUUGGCCUCCCGACUCAGGGAUACCCGGCGUCUCUCCUUCCUUGUAAGCUACAUAGCCAGUAAGAAGAUCCACACUGAGCCCCAGCUAAGCGCUGCCCUUGAGUAUGUGCGGAGUCACCCCUUGGACCCCGUCGACACUGUGGACUUCGAGCGGGAAUGUGGCGUGGGUGUCAUUGUGACCCCAGAGCAGAUUGAGGAGGCUGUGAGUCUUUCCCCAGGCAUCGUCUGCCUCCCCAGUCCUGGCCAUGAAAAGGAGUGGCUCAGUUUCCCUCCCCAGGAAGACCCAGAGUGAGGGUGUGGGUUCCCAGAAUAUCUCUAAAGGUGGCUUUCCUGAACCACAUGGUUUGGCUUUCUGCAGGUGGAGGCUGCUAUUAACAGGCACCGGCCCCAGCUCCUGGUG
rnacentral:sRNA from 1 species